GGCCCUGACACACCAGGCCGAUUUCGGCCGUUUUCGUUAGUCGGAAGACGAAGCGUGUCCUGUCGCCCAAACUUAAUUCGGUGUGUCCCGCACCGUCGGCCGUGACACGCCUUAUUUGGACUGCCUGACCCGAUGCAUGGCUGAUUCAGUUGGACCAAGCAAUCACUCUGAUUGGCUGUUCAGCUAGCGAAUCAGUGCAUGAGAAGCGAAACGGAAGUGAGGGACGUAAACAAACGAUUUAAGAAGGCACAGACUGCUAUUCAUUUUCAUCUUAUCAUGGCGAUCUGGAAUGACGGAAACGAAGACCUGCUCAUCACCUUGAUCCAGGAGAGGCCAGCUCUGUACGACAUCACAGAGAAAAGGUACUCGAACCGAGUAGUGAAAACCGGACUCUGGCGAGAGAUUGAAACGCAACUUGGUUUCUCGGAGAAAGAGCUGAGGAACAAGUGGGAUUCUCUGCAAACCCAGUACACCCGGUACAGGAAACUUGCCACUUCAGGUAGUUGUGGAGCACAAAGGACUGGCAGACAGCAGUGGAUCCUGACCAGGCUGCGGUUUUAAGAGCCCUACACAAGAAGGGAGGAGAGUACUUCGAACCUCACCAUCACGGAACGUCCGGUGGCUGCAGAAUCAACCCCCGGUGGCACCAGCAGUGAAACCUCGACCAGCACCACCGAGGAGUCCUUCCACUUUGAUGCUGAGCCCUGCACCCCCCUGGCAGAAUCCACCAUCUGCACCACACCGGCACCGCUCGGAGAGAGGCCAAGCACACUCAGCACUCGAAGGCCUCCGGCGAAGCGCAGGAUGAUGAUACUAAAUGAGAUACUGUCUACCGCUGUUUAUUGUUCAAGAUUGAAAUGUAAAUGUGCAAGCCGGUUUUCUGCCCCUCUAUUCACAUGUAGCCUUUCAUACGUGAUGGUUUCUUCAUUCUCGAACUGUUGUGGAGCAGAACUAUAAAGUUGCAGGAUUAGUCUCAAGUACCUCAAUAUAAUUAUAGUAUGUCUGCACUUUAAGUGCUCAUUUCAUCAUUCAUUCAUGUAUUUUAUAUUCUACUAAAACUGAAUCAAACCAUAAACAAGGUGGCCUGUUGGGAUUACUAUAUAUAUA